rnacentral:rRNA from 1 species
GGGACCCGUCUUGAAACACGGACCAAGGAGUCUAGCAUGUGCGCGAGUCAUUGGGACUCUAACGAAACCUAAAGGCGUAAUGAAAGUGAAGGCUCGCCUAGCGCGGGCCGAGGGAGGAUGGGUGUCCCCGAGGGGACGCCCCGCACUCCCAGGGCGUCUCGUUCUCAUUGCGAGAAGAGGCGCACCAAGAGCGUACACGCUGGGACCCGAAAGAUGGUGAACUAUGCCUGGUCAGGACGAAGUCAGGGGAAACCCUGAUGGAGGUCCGUAGCGAUUCUGACGUGCAAAUCGAUCGUCGGAACUGGGUAUAGGGGCGAAAGACUAAUCGAACCAUCUAGUAGCUGGUUCCCUCCGAAGUUUCCCUCAGGAUAGCUGGCGCUCGCUUCUCGCGAGUCUCAUUCGGUAAAGCGAAUGAUUAGAGGCAUUGGGGUCGAAACGGCCUCAACCUAUUCUCAAACUUUAAAUGGGUGAGAUCUCCGGCUUGCUUGAACUGUGAAGCCGCGAGAUAUCGGAUCAGAGUGCCAAGUGGGCCACUUUUGGUAAGCAGAACUGGCGCUGUGGGAUGAACCAAACGCUGAGUUAAAGCGCCUAAAUCGACGCUUAUGGGAUACCAUGAAAGGCGUUGGUAACUUAAGACAGCAGGACGGUGGCCAUGGAAGUCGGAAUCCGCUAAGGAGUGUGUAAA